GAGGGGCUGUGAAAGAUCCCAGACCCAUUUUCAGAUAGGGGGCUGAGGAUGCUCGACCGAUGGUCACAGAGCUUCUGCUGCCCCAGUCCGCCUGGCACUGGGCUGGGGACUCGUAAGCAGCUGAAUGCCCCUGUUAGGUUCUUUCAGUUUCAGAAAAUUUUCAGAAAUAUGGUCUGUGCUGGAACAGUGACAUUUCCUGUAAUAGAGAAAUCUCUGUUUUGGUAAGCAUUACAGCUAGUCACUUAAAAAUCUGGAUCCCUGGGAAAAGCAGCUGGAGACCCAAACCACAGCUUCAGGAGGCUUUGUCUUUUGGUUUUUCUCUUCACUGGUGGGCUUUGGGCACAAGUCUGUGGGAGGAAAAUGACAUUUGGGCUUUUCCUUGCAAGGGGUGAAAAAAAAAAUCCCACCGAUUUCAAGACAAACCUCAAGCCUGGACUUCUGGAAAGAGGAGCUCUUGGUUAGCCACACCAGCCGGGCUGGGUUUCACCCCUGCUGGGGGGAUGCACACGUGGCGGGCACCACCAGUCCCAAACACGAAGCACCGAAGCUAUGUGGCACUGCUACAUCAGAUCACCUGGGAAGGGGUGACGGGACCCACAAGCCUUUGGCUCCCCUGAUCGGGAAGUUUGGCACUGGCACAAACCCAGAAACUCCUGUCUCUGUUAAACGCUUCAGCUGUUCCACAGAGAGCUUUCACACUGUCCUGAAGUCCACACAGGUUUCUUUGCAGUCAGUACUUUUGUAGAAGGCUUAAGUAAUCAAGACAUAGUUUUCACCAACCCUUCUUUUUAUACAUUUCCCCCCCGCCCCCGCUUUGCCCAGUCAUUGCUGUGCCAUCACCAGCUAACAGCCUGUUUGUGCUCCCUCCCACCGUGAUUUAUGUCUAGGAGCAAACAAGGAAAGAGAACCGCUCUUGAAAAGCUGUCCUUGAAGUCCCGGUCUACAAUAGUUGUCUUUUCUUUUUUUUCUUUUUUUUUUUUUUUUUAAGCGGGGAUCAGAAAAGCAUAAAUUGCAGUAUAUCUUCAAAGUGUUCGGGGGGUUGUUUGCCACAUGACUCAUAUUGACUUUAAUGGGAGUCACAUGCUAAACUCCCAUACAACACUUGGAAAGUUUUAAAGUGCCACCGCUUUGCGCAAGAGCUCCGAAUGAAAAGCUACUUUUGUUUUCGUGCUCCACAGUGCUGACAUUGUCCAAAUCCCAGCCCUCCAGCAGGAACGCACUGGGACGGGGUGGGAAAAACCCAUCCAGGGAGCCGGUGGUGCUGCCAGGCGCCCCUGCCUCCUGCCUGCUGGCUCUCCCCACCUGCUGGGGUAGAGGACAGGUGGAAUCAGUGCUGCUUCAAUGCCUAGAAAGCCUUGCCAGAGUCCCCAGAACACAGGGGCAGGAAGACGAUAGGUCUGGCACCGAGAUAUUUGUGCUCCCCCUCCUGUUCCUUGUGCCUGCUGGUUAGCUUCCCUCUGUUUCAAGGGGUUACAUGAGUUUUCAGCGGUGUGUCUCACGCCCCUCAUAAUUCCCACUAAAGCUUCUCUUUACAGACCCUUAAGGUCAUUGCCAUUAUCUUGGCAUUUUAAAAUAUUCCCAGAGAUAUCCUUGGGAAAGAACUGAUUAAAUACGAAGAAAAUUUCCCUGAGGAAAAAAAAAAAGCUCACACAGUAAGACACAGGCAGGGUUUUUUGUUUUGAACAAGAGAAGAGCAAAAUCUCCUGCCCUUCCCCGCCCUGAAACAGGUCACGUAUUAGCCUGCUGUCAGGUCAAAUGGCUGAGCAUGAUUUAGAGGGAUAAAAACCAUGUUAAAGCAAACUAAGAGCAGAUUGUUCCAAGUGCGCACGUGGUUAAUCCUUGCCUAGGACUAGGCAGCCUGGGCACUGCCGAUAUGAGAAUCUCUCUGGGUUUCUUUGAAGUAUGGAGGUUCCUGAAGAGAAUGGAAUCACCGGAACUCCUCAGCCCACCAUCCAGCUGAAAUGUGCCCCCCAAGAGCCUCUCUCUCUCCGUACCUGACAGCCCUGUGCUAGAAGAGAUGGCACCAACAGCGCUUGCACAGGUCUGGGCACAGCCACAGUUACCUAAGCAAAGUUAAUGCUCCGUCAGAAACCUGAGAAGAAAACAGUUUUGGUGAUGUGCUCUGAAUGUCAAGGGAAUUGUAUCCCAGCUGAGAGGAAGCAUUCCUCUUAUUACCUGACUCUGGCGCUUUCACACAAAUGGAACCUGUUAAACAAGUACCGUGUGGGGUGAUCUGCUUAGAUUACAUGCUCAGCUUAUCCUAGUAAUGUGCCUUGGCAGAUAAAUAUCUGAUCCUCUUUAGCUGGACGGUUUCUAGUUGCAUGGCAAAGUACCUUACCAAGUGUCUUUUACAUGAUCUUGACACAUGCUUCUCCAGUAAAUUUACUUUUUAUUAGCAUUCCUCUUUGCCACCCUGAGCACAUCUGCUUCACUGAUUCCCUCUUAGAGUAAAACAUCGUGCGCCUCUUGAACAAGAGAUACCUAAAAAUCAGUGGGUAACACAGAUUCAAGGUCGAUGCCACACAGAGGAGGUUGUCUGAACAAGGGGUCAAGGGCUUGUGGUGCCAAGCCACCCUAAUUGCCUUCCUCCCUCUGACCCAUCAUGUGCAACCACCUGGAAAAAUCACUUAAAAUAUGAUUUUCCCUCUUAGGGAAAUGGGCAGAUGGGGAGAGAUGCAAGUACUUUGGCCUCUUAAGAGAGAUGCUGGCUGGUGCUUUCUCUUUAUUUACAGUGACUUGCUUGACACCUCGCCCUUCACAUGUCUGAGCUCUGUUGAUGUGAGGCCAACAGGCGCAUGUGCUCUCAUGCCUCCCUGCAUUGCAUCUUAAAAAAAUAAACACCCCGCUGCAAACACUAUAGCUUGUUCUUUGACACUGAAGAGGGAGCUGUGGCAGGAAGAAUAUCUAUUGCACUAAUCCAUUGCCAGUGUAACAAAGGAACCAAAGAGGGGAGGAUAAAAUGGGUUUCAGUUUCAGACUUAGUUGCCCUGAAGUUGCUCAUGGUGUGGGUGGCUACAGGUAAGCCUGGAAUUCAAGCUCCUAUGGCAGUCAGCCUACAUCUGAUGAAUACCAGCAUGGAGCCCAGUGAUGUGUCCAGCUGAUAAAAUAUAGAUGUUUCUGCACAAGCCUUUGGGGUCAGUGGUGGUUCUGUAGCCUGCCUGCAGGCACCUGGGCUGGUUGGAGCUGCUGCGGGAUGUCCCAACCAGCCCUCAUGGGCACUGCUCUCCCCAGACACUGUGGCAUAGCUGCAGCCCAGCAGAGCCCACCGAGCAUCCCCAGUGGCACCAGUGGGGCUGCUGCUCCUCCGCACACCUUCCCUCCCAUCUUUGGUGCCUGACCUCAGCUCUGUGACAUUCCCUCAGCCACCACAUUGUGACUUUAAGGGACAAGAUUUCAAAAGACUGUCAAGCUUCUGCUCAGAGACUGCCACUUGACCUCUAUAAACAAGUAUUUCUGUGUUGACAUGUUAAAGGCUACACAAAAAAAUAUUCAUGACGUGCCUUUCCUAGCAAAUGGUUUCCUUACUCAGCAGUCUGCCUUGUAACUCAGAGCUCGAGCACCGCAAAGCUGAGGCUCACUCUCACACACCAUGCCUUCUCCUACAUCGCUGAUUGCUACAUGAUUUUUUGUGUGAAUUGUUAAUAAAGCGCUACCACAGAAAAAGCAAAUCUAUUUGCCGUCUGGGUAAUUUCCGCACUUACCUCAGCUUGGGCAGUAAGGACUGGUAAGAGCUGCUUGUUUUUCCUUCUCCAAUUAACUUUCCAGUUUUAAUGAGCUAGUGCUUGAGCUCAGUCAGUGCAAGGUUAUGAGGAUUAAAAGACUUACAAGACGCCUGUGGUCUCAA